rnacentral:rRNA from 1 species
AUGCAGUCGACGGUACAGGAAGCAGCUUGCUGCUUCGCUGACGAGUGGCGGACGGGUGAGUAAUGUCUGGGAAACUGCCUGAUGGAGGGGGAUAACUACUGGAAACGGUAGCUAAUACCGCAUAACGUCGCAAGACCAAAGAGGGGGACCUUCGGGCCUCUUGCCAUCGGAUGUGCCCAGAUGGGAUUAGCUAGUAGGUGGGGUAACGGCUCACCUAGGCGACGAUCCCUAGCUGGUCUGAGAGGAUGACCAGCCACACUGGAACUGAGACACGGUCCAGACUCCUACGGGAGGCAGCAGUGGGGAAUAUUGCACAAUGGGCGCAAGCCUGAUGCAGCCAUGCCGCGUGUAUGAAGAAGGCCUUCGGGUUGUAAAGUACUUUCAGCGGGGAGGAAGGCGAUAAGGUUAAUAACCUUGUCGAUUGACGUUACCCGCAGAAGAAGCACCGGCUAACUCCGUGCCAGCAGCCGCGGUAAUACGGAGGGUGCAAGCGUUAAUCGGAAUUACUGGGCGUAAAGCGCACGCAGGCGGUCUGUCAAGUCGGAUGUGAAAUCCCCGGGCUCAACCUGGGAACUGCAUUCGAAACUGGCAGGCUAGAGUCUUGUAGAGGGGGGUAGAAUUCCAGGUGUAGCGGUGAAAUGCGUAGAGAUCUGGAGGAAUACCGGUG